rnacentral:rRNA from 1 species
GUCCACGCCGUAAACGAUGGAUACUAAGUGUUGGGAUAGAAUCUCAGUGCUGUAGUUAACGCAAUAAGUAUCCCGCCUGGGGAGUAUGCGCGCAAGCGUAAAACUCAAAGGAAUUGACGGGGGCCCGCACAAGCGGUGGAGUAUGUGGUUUAAUUCGACGCAACGCGAAGAACCUUACCUGGUCUUGACAUGCCACUGAAAAUCUUAGAGAUAAAGUAAUAGUUACAGUGGACACAGGUGGUGCAUGGUUGUCGU